rnacentral:misc_RNA from 1 species
AAAACAACAACAAUGAAAAAGAGACACAUGAACAGAACACUUCUUAGGUGUGUGAGACUAUCAGGCACAACAUUCUCACUCCCUCGCAUAUAAUACCACACCUUUUUCAGCUGUCUCCACAGGAUUUUAGAUGCAUGCAGCUUGGAAUCACAAACAAGAACAGAAAGCAAUAUUUGAGUUAUAAACUGAGUGAUGGCGGAGGCUAUGAUUGAGGUCCUUGUAGAGCAAUUAAUUGAAGCCCUCAAGAAACAUGGUGAAUACAUGCUUGAAUUUCGAAGCCAGUUCAGUGAUAUGAAGGCACACCUUGACCUCAUGAAAUCCUUUCUCGUUGAUGCUUACAAGCUCAAAAGAAAGGAGGAAACAGUGAAGACAACCUUAAGUAUGCUCAGAGAACUGGUUUAUGAUGCAGAGGACAUAUUGACUGACUGCCUACUCAGAGCAGAAUAUCGGAAAGAAGGGUUUCACUUAAACAACUUCUCCCCACGUGAAUUGAUCUUCCAGUAUCGAACAGGGAAAAAGUUGAAAAACAUCAAUGAAAGAAUUGAAAAGAUGCAGAAGAUCUUGAAAUCCUACUUCAAGACAAUUGGACAACAGAGUGUCCAUGAUGACUGUGGUAGCAUAGGGAAGAGGUGGACUUCACCAGUUUAUGAUGAAUCUACAAUAGUUGGUUUAACAGAAGAUACAAAAAAGAUAAUUGGCUGGAUUCUUCCUGAAAACCGGAUAUUGCACCGAGUUGGGAUUGUGGGGAUGGGUGGUUUGGGCAAAACCACCAUAACUCAGAAGAUUUUUAACAACAGACAAGUUGUUGAUCGCUUUGAUAAGAGAAUUUGGGUCUCACUAUCUCAAAAUUUCAAUGAGGAAGAGAUCAUGAGGACCAUGUUAAAACAAUUGGGAGAAGAUGUAAAUGGACUGGAUAUGGCUCAAAUGCUGCCAAAGAUUAAGCAAGCACUUGAAAAUAGGAAUUAUCUGAUUGUAUUCGAUGAUGUUUGGAGCGCUGAAGGUUGGUGGGACAGAAUACGUGCUGGGCUGCCAAAGAGGGAGGGGAAAAGUAGUGGCAUAAUAAUCACAACAAGAAUAGAAAAUGUUGCAACUGAAAUAGGGGUUGAGAAAGCACGAAUUCAUCAGCCCAGAAUUCUGAAUGAAGAAGAAAGUUGGGCUCUAUUCUGCAAAAUUGCAUUUGCAUCAGAUGAGGAAGCACAACAGCAUUCCGAGUUGGAGGAAGUGGGGAAAGAUAUAGUUAAAAAAUGUGGAGGACUUCCACUAGCUAUAAAGACCAUAGGAGGCUUACUGAAAUCAAAAACUCAAUCUACAGAAGUUUGGAGAAGGAUUUGUACCAAUUUCCAUGAUGCAGUGGCCACAAGAGAAAGCGGAAGCUCAGUCAUGGCUUCUUUACAACUUAGUUAUGAUGAGCUUCCUAUUCGCCUGAAGCAAUGUCUACUGUGCUUUUCCAUGUAUCCAGAGGACUCAGAGAUAUGGGCUGAGCAGUUAGCUCGUUGGUGGGUUGGAGAGGGUUUCGUUGAGGGAAAAGGCUCAAGAACUGCAAUGGAAUUGGCCUUCGACUAUCUAUCAGAGCUCAUCAGCAGAUGCCUAGUUGAAGUUGUGCAGCAAAGAGGUUAUGAUGGAAGAGUUUACAGUUGCAAGAUGCAUGAUCUGGUGAGGGAUUUGACCAUAAAAAUUGCCAGAGAGGAGGCAUUUUGCAACUUUGAUGAACAAGGCAGGCAAGGACUCUCAGCGCAAUCCCGGCGUUUGAGCUUUACGUGUGAAAUUGAUGUGAAGGCACUGAACAGAAAAUCAAAGCUCCGGACAUUGCUGAUAAUGACAAGCUCCCCAAUUCAACUCAACAGGAAUACUGGAUUGUUUACAAUUAAGUCCCUCAGGGUGUUGGAUUUCUCA